CCUACGGGCGGCAGCAGUCGAGAAUCAUUCACAAUGGGGGAAACCCUGAUGGUGCGACGCCGCGUGGGGGAAUGAAGGUCUUCGGAUUGUAAACCCCUGUCAUGUGGGAGCAAAUUAAAAAGAUAGUACCACAAGAGGAAGAGACGGCUAACUCUGUGCCAGCAGCCGCGGUAAUACAGAGGUCUCAAGCGUUGUUCGGAAUCACUGGGCGUAAAGCGUGCGUAGGCUGUGUCGUAAGUCGUGUGUGAAAGGCCCGGGCUCAACCCGCGGACGGCACAUGAUACUGCGAGACUAGAGUAAUGGAGGGGGAACCGGAAUUCUCGGUGUAGCAGUGAAAUGCGUAGAUAUCGAGAGGAACACUCGUGGCGAAGGCGGGUUCCUGGACAUUAACUGACGCUGAGGCACGAAGGCCAGGGGAGCGAAAGGGAUUAGAUACCCCUGUAGUC
rnacentral:rRNA from 1 species